rnacentral:lncRNA from 10 species
UGAAGCCAGGAAACUGCUCUCUCAGUGGGAAUUAGAGGAAGAAACCACUUGAAUCACAUCUCAAACAUUCAGCUCAAUCAAAGCAACCUUCAAGAGCUGAAAUGUAACUAUAGCUUUGAAAGUCAAUGCAAGAGGCUGAUGCCUACAGACUACAUUCCCUGGAUGCCCCUUCUGGAAUGCUGGACGUUUGAGGAGCGAGGAAGGAGAGAGAGAGAAUCCAACCUGAUAUCUUUGCUUGUAACUGAAUCUCCAAAGGACUGUAGCUCCUGCAGGGUGAUCUCUCUCCAAGAUCAAGCUCUCAGUGUGCUCUGUGUUUCUCCUCUUGUCCCUUCAAGCCCAGGAGCACAUUCCAGAUCAUUUGAAUAAGCCAGUUAUAGCCAGGCACUGCCACAGAUUUCAGCACUUACUUCAUUGUUGCAUGAGUACAAUAACCCUAAGGACAUAAUUCCUAAUUUUAUGUUUGUGUGUAAUAAAAUAACAUCAUAGAAACAUUUAAUCAAUGUUGAAGGUCCAUGAGAAAUGGCAUUUUCAAUGUUCUGUACAAUUUUAAGUGUCUUGGGAAGGAUAAUGCCCUCAAAGUUUCUAGUUAAUAUCCAAUAAGGCUCUGCAUAAUAAAUAAAUGAAGUAUUGAACAUGUACACAAGUGAAUGACGUGUUUUUAUAUUGCUUUUUAG